UGCUAUAUAUUAAGAUCAUAAAGUACUGCAGGUCUGUUCCAUCAGUGAGUUGUUCAUUGAUAGAAAAAGUAAAGGAACUGUGCAAACUACUGCAGCCUGAGACAUUGGAGACUUACAGUCUAACAGCGAGUGACCAUCAUAGUCCCUUUUCUUGUGAUCACAAGACCCUUUUGAACAUUGUUGAUCUGGUAUGCUGCAAGCUCGAUUCGCUGAUCUACUGGCUGAGAGCAGGGGGCAGAUGGCAGCAUUCACAGCAAAACAAAGAAAUACAACAGAAUCAAUGAAAAAGCUACAAAGACUGACAAGCAAAACCAAUGUGAAAAAGAAGAUCAUUCUAUACUCGUGUAUACUCAGAAGCCACUUUGAGAUAGAGUGGACACCCACUGCUUCUUCCCCGGGGCACCACUGUUCAAUACAAGAGGACAUGGCUUUAAGGUAAGGGGUGGGAAGUUCAAGGGGGAUAUUAGAGGAUGGUUUUUCACUCAGAGUGGUUGGUGCAUGGAAUGCACUGCCUGAGUCAGUGGUGGAGGCAGAUACACGACUGAAAUUCAAGAGACUACUAGACAGGUACAGUUGGUCCUCCUUAUCCGCGGGUUCCGCAUGCGCGGAUUCAACCAACCACAAAUCGGGUAAACCCGUAAGUUCUCUCUCCAGCACUCGUUGUUUCAGCAUGUACAGACUAUUUUUUCCUGUCAUUAUUCCCUAAACAAUACAGUAUAACAACUAUUUACAUAGCAUUUACAUUGUAUUAGGUAUUAUAAAUAAUCUAGAAAUGACUUUGAAGUACAGGCAGUCCCCGGGUUAUGAAUGAGUUCCGUUCCUGAGUCCGACUUUAAGUCAGAACAGGUACAUCUGGUAUUAUUUAGUGUCAGUUAGUCAAAUGUUUUUCUUAGUAUAUAGUACAUAUUUUACCUUUCCAUGCAUAUAAAACACUUAAGAAACAUACGUAUUUCAAUAAUUAAACCACUGCGUUGCUUAAUAAUAAUUAUAGCUUUCAUUGGGGCAGGGCCUUUCACAUGUUCCAUUAAAAUUGUUCCGAUCAUUGACCAACUGUAGCCUAACGUUUUUCCAAUGACUGAUAGCACUUCACCUCUUUCCAAUCAUUUUAUUACUUCCACCUUAUUUUUAAUCAUGAUUAUUUUUGUGAAAAGAAACACAGUGGAUUCAGAGCUGAGCUGCGCUGCCGGGUCCUAAUGUCCACCGCACUGAGACAAGUAAAGUCCGGGGUUCCGCUGGGUCCUAAAGACCACCGCAUUGAGACAGGUUAAAUAAGGGAUUUGAGCAUCCGCAUUUUUUGGUAUCCGCGGGGGGGGGGGAGAGGAGUCUCAGAACCAGUCCCCCCGCGUUUAAGGAGGGCCGACUGUAUAUGGAGGAAUUGAAGGUGGGGGGGGGGGUUAUAUGGGAGGCAGGGUUUAAGGGUCGUGGGCAUUGUGGGACAAAUGGCCUGUACUAUUCUAUGUUUAUGAGGCAGAUCUUGUACCUAAUAAAGUGGCUCAUAGUCUUCUGCUGCUGUAGCCGUUCAAGGUUCCAUGUGUUAUGCAUCCAGAGAUGCUCUUCUGCACGCCACUGUUGUAGUGUAUGGUUAUUUGAGUCUGUGUCACCUUCCUGACAGCAUGAACCAUUCUGGCCAUUCUCCUUUGAACUCUCUCAUUAACAGGGCAUUUAUGGAUGUCUAAUGUUUAUCACAACAUUCUCUGUAAACUCUAGAGACUGUUGUGCAUGAAAAUCCCAGAUCAACAGUUCAGAUCUGAGAUACUCAAACCACCCCUAUUUGGCACCAAGAAUCAUUCCACAGUCAGAGUCACUUACAUCACAUUUUUUCCCCAUUCUGAUGUUUGGUCUGAACAACAAUUGAACCUCUUGACUAUGUCUGAAUCCUUUUCUGCAUUGAGUUGCUGCCACAUGAUUGGCUGAUUAGAUAUUUGCAUUAAGGAGAAAGUAUACAGGUGUAUCUAAUAAUAAAGUGGUCUCUAUAUAGACAGGCAGAAAAAGUGCAAGGGUGACAUCAAGGUCAGAUACAUCCAUGGGAUAGAAACGGUCCUUGAAUAUGGUGAUAUAUAUAUAUUCCUAAGCUUUUGUAUCUUCUGACCAAUAGAAGGGGGAAAGGAGAAUGAUCGGUGUUGCAGGGGUCCUUGAUUAAAUUGGUUGCUUUCCUGAACCAAAUGAUAAAAUUAAAGGAGGCAGGGAAAUUGACAAGAAUAUGAGAACUAAACAAGUUAGGAUAGAAUGACUGCAAAUGGCUGGCAUGAACAUGGUGACCUGUCUCGCCACUGGCUCUCUCAUCAAUUUAUGACAAGCCCAUUUUCACCCUCUCUACACUGAAACUGAACCCACUAAAUUGUGACUGAAUCACUUAAGACAACAAAAGCUACAGAUGGCACCAGAGGUUUUUUUGAACUUGGGUGACUUCUUCCAGUUCACCAGCAAAAGUUUAAUUCUCCCCUUUUUCCUUUUCAAGAUGGCUGGGGUCCGAUUGGAGACAUGAUCUAUUGCUGCUCUCAAAGUAUGUUCUUCACACGCAGGGGGUUCUUACUUAGAACUCGCUGGGCAGCCUGGCAUUUCGAUAUCUCCAGAUGCAGCCUGGAAGACAUGUGCCUUCGGGGUGAGACCCUGUGAACAACCCGAUUCCUCACCGACUGAAACAUUACCAAGAGAUUGAAGCAUUGAGAUAGCAGGCAGGUGGUGUAUGCUGCUAUCGAAAGUAGGUUUCUGCACUCAUGAGAGAAACCUACUGGUCGGGGGGAGUUCAGUUAAGUGAUGGGGCAGAUUGUGAUAUCAAAACAGCAGAUUGUAAUAUCGAAACAGCAAACUGUUGGUCUCCCCUCUCGUUGUGGUUCAGAGGAACAGGAAGAGAGGCCGAGGGAGGAAAAUGCAGAGCUUGGGGUCCUGACAACUGAAUGGCAAUGUGAUUAAAUUUCAGAGACACGAGAGACCAUAGAUGUUUGAAAUCUGGAGUGACAGACACAAAGUGCAGGAGGAACCCAUUCGGGCAGCAUCUGUGGAGAGAAAUGAAGAGUUGAUGUUUCAGGCUGAGACCUUUCAGCAGGGCUGGAAAGAGAUAAAAAAGGUGGGGAAGAAGUGGUAAGAGCUGGUAGGUGAUGGGUGGAUCUAAGUGAGGGGGAAUGGUAAGCAGGUGAGAAAGGGUGGGAAGAGUGGGAUCGAGGCAAAAACCCGAGAGGAAGUGGUUUCUUCCCCCAGGCAGUUAAUCUGAUCAACCAUUCUAAUUAACCCUCCUCCACUCGUCUACCUACCGCCUCAGUCACUGCAUUGGAUUGUAAAUACUUUAAACCUCUUGUUAUAAUGUUUACAUUGUAAAUACUUGCACAUGUUUAAAUGUUUAUGCACAUUGCUUUCCAUGUCCACACUUUAACCUCCAACUUUAUUUUUAAUUUAAUUUGUUUUAACUUUGAACGUUGAUGUUUAUUGCUUCAAGUCAUGCGAACAUGCCACAGCAAAUUGCUAAUACGUGUAAGUAUGUAUGGUGAAGAAAGCUGAUCCAUGGAAGUGACAAAGAGCUGAGGAAGAUGGAAGUAAGAUGGCGGGGUCCAAGCCUCAGAGCGUAUCGAAGCCACCAAACCCAAUGUUUGGACAACAACUUAUGCACCAGGCCAGAUUGAAAAGGUCAGGGUGUCUGACCCGAGACGAGGGAAGUCCGGUUUGGCUCGCUGCUCUGCAGCGUUUGCUCGGCUCUGCAUUGAACUAUGAGUCUCAGACUUCAGAAUGCAAUUUACUUGCGGUUAUUGCUUGCAUGAUUUGUUGUUUUUCACUGCACACUAGGGUGUUUGACGCUCUUUUUUUAAAUGAGUUCUUUGGAUUUCUUUGCUUUGUAGCUGCCUGUUAGGAGACGAAUCUCAAAGUUGUACAGUGCAUACAUAUUUUGAUAAUAAAUGCACUUUGAACUUUGAAUUUGUUUAAGAGGGGACUAUGGACCAUGAAAUGAAGGGAAGUAGGCAAGGAGAACUGGAAGGAGGGAAUGUGUAGGUGAUGGACAUGUAGAGGGGACAGGGGAAGAGGCAGAGAGGAGUUGGCGGUGCCAGUGAGAUAAGGAAAAAGAGGGCACAUUGGAGAAUGGAUAAUGAAAAUUAAGGGGAAAACAAUUACAUUUUGAAAUGGUCAAGAGACAUGAAAUGCAUUUCAGGCCACUCUUUGCAUCAUAAACUACAAACAAGCUUUAGCCAGCGGUUAUCCAGAACGAGCAUGAGGUGGUCUUUUGGUGAAUAUAGGGCGCAUCGUGUUCCUCCAAUAAACGUUCAAAUGCAAGAGGCAGUAAAUCACUUGGCACUUCUCAUCUACACUCAGUAGCCACAUUAUUAGGUAACCUGCUCAUUCAUCAGCCAAUUAUCAGAAUGUUGAAGAAAUACGUGACUGACUGUGGAAUGAUUGUUGGCACCAAAUGGAUAGCUUGAGUAUUUCAGAAAUGGCUGAUUUAUCUAUCUAUUAAUUAUUUAAUUUUAUCACCAUGCAGCGUGGAAUAGGCCCUUCGAGUCACACCGUCCAGUAACCCAAUUUAACUCGAGCCUAAUCAGGAAACAAUUUACAAUGACCAAUUAACCAACCAACCAGCACAUCUUGGGAUUGUGGGAGGAAACCAGAGCACCCAGAGGAAGCCCAUGCAGUCAUGGGGAGAAUAUGCAAACUCCUUGCAGACAGCUGUGGAAAUUCAACCCAGGUUACUGGAACUGCAAAGCAUUGCAAAGUAACUACUGCAUUAUUGUGCCAUCCACGAUUCCCUGGCAUUUUCAUGCACAACACUCUCUAGAGAUUACAGAGAAUGCUGUGAGAAACAAAAGAACAUCCAGUUAGCCGACGAAAACACCUUGUUAAUGAGAGAGUUCAGAGGAGAAUAGCCAGACUGGUUCAAACUGACAGGAAGGCAACAGCAGCCCAAAACAACCACAUUAGAACAGAGGUGUGCAGAAGAUCAUCUCUGAAUGAUCAUCAAACCUUGAAGUGGACGGGCUACAGCAGCAGAAAAUCACAAACAUACUCAGUGGCCACUUCAUUAGGUACAGAAGGUACCUGUAAAGUGACCACUGAAUGACCAAGUAAGCUUUAGCCAGCAGUUAUCCAGAAUGAGGAAGACUAGGUCCUUUGGUAAUUACAGACAAUAUCGCAUUCCUCAAAUAAACAUUCAAAAGCAAGUGGCAGUAAUUCAUAUGAAACUUCUUUUCAUCUAUUACUGGAAAGGAAUUAAUUAGUUAGGGAAGGGAUUUGGAGGGGUACUUCCUGUUUGGCUGUUCAUCAUCCUAGAACAGGCCCAUUGUCAGCUUUUCUAUAUGCCCACUAAACAGAGACCAAGGCAUUUGCAAAAUGAGAUAUUAACCCCUCCAUAAUGGGUUUUGGCCCAAAACAACGAUGUUUAUUUUCCUUUAUCAGUGCUGCCUGACUUGUUGAGUUAUUCCAGCAAUGUGUCUGUGUGGGCGUAUGCGUGCAUGUACGUUUGUCAUGUCUGGGUCUGUGUCCGUGUGGCUCAAAGAAUCUCAUGGUUAAGGAUUAAUCCUAAAUACACACACUAGUCAAACUAACUGCUAAGAGGAACCAUGAUCUGGAUGAGGGGUGGUAAAUUGGAUUAGUAAGUAUGCAGAUGAUACUAAGAUAAGUGGCAUUGUGGAUAAUGAAGUGGGUUUUCAAAGCUUGCAGAGAGAUUUAGGCCAGUUAGAAGAGUGGGCUGAAAGAUGGCAGAUGGAGUUUAAUGUUGAUAAGUGUGAGGUGCUACAUUUUGGUAGGAAUAAUCCAAAUAGGAUAUACAUGGUAAACGGUAGGGCAUUGAAGAAUGCAGUAGAACAGAGUGAUCUAGGAAUAAUGGUACAUAGUUCCCUGAAGGUGGAAUCUCAUGUGGAUAGGGUGGUGAAGAAAGCUUUUGGUAUGCUGGCCUUUAUAAAUCAGAGCAUUGAGUAUAGGACUAGGGAUGUAAUGUUAAAAUUGUACAAGGCAUUGGUGAGGCCAAAUUUGGAGUAUUGUGUACAGUUCUGGUCACUGAAUUAUAGGAAAGAGGUCAACAAAAUAGAGAGCGUACAGAGGAGAUUUACUAGAAUGUUACCUGGGUUUCAGCACCUCAGUUACAGAGAAAGGUUGAACAAGUUAGGUCUUUAUUCUUUGGAGCGUAGAAGGUUGGUGGGGGGGGACUUGAUAGAGGUAUUUAAAAUUAUGAGGGGGAUAGAUAGAGUUGACGUGGAUAAGCUUUUUUCAUCGAGAGUAGGGGAGAUUCAAACGAGGACAUGAGUUGAGAGUUAAGGGGCAAAAUUUUAGAGGUAACAUGAGGGGGAACUUCUUUACUCAGAGAGUGGUAGCUGCGUGGAACGAAUUUCCAGUAGAAGUGGUAGAGGCAGGUUUGGUUUUGUCAUUUAAAAAAAAUUGGAUAGGUAUAUGGACAGGAAAGGAAUGGAGGGUUUAUGGGCUGAGUGCAGGUAGGUGGGACUAGGUGAGAGUAAGCAGUUGGCACGGACUAGAAGGGCCAAGAUGGCCUGUUUCCCUGCUGUAAUUGUUAUAUGGUUAUAUAUGUUCUUCAAGCCUGGUCACAAUAUAUUGCUGCGAAAGCAUUAAUCGGCUUUUUAUUUCGAACUGAGUUAAAACACUUUGUUUCUUUGCACCGAUGUUCCACCAUCUAGGCUUUUAAAAUUUACAUGAUCACAUUCCCAAACUGGCAAGCCCUUAUCACAGUAUUCCAUUAAAAGAUAUGAGGAGUGUUUGAUGGCUGUGGGUGUACUCACUAGAGUUUAUAAGUAUGAGACAGGAACUCAUUGACCUAUCGAUUAUUGAAAGAACCAAAUAGAGUGAAUGUGGAGAAAAUGUUUUCUAUAGUAGGAAGGGGGUGGGUGAAUUGUUGGAAUUUUUUGCCAUAGGCGGCUUUGGAGGCCAAAUCAUUGGCUGCAUUUAAAGCACAGGUUGAUAGAUUCUUGAUCAGUCUGGGUGUCAAUCGUUACGGAGAGAAAGCAGGAAAAUGAGGUUGAGAGGUAUGAUCAAAUGAGAGGUUUAAUAAAUCAGCUAUGAUGGAAUGGCAGAACAGACUCAAAGGACCGAAUUGCCUGAUUCUGCUCCUAUGUCUUUUGAUAUCAGUGCUUUUUGUAAUUAUAACUUUGCAUAACCAAAAUUUGACAGGAAUAUUUGGCUUUUUAUAUGUUCCUAUGGGUGGCAGGGUGGAGAUAAAUCUUUACCAAAGGAAGUGUAAGGUGCUCCUUCCCUCGCUAGCCUACAGCUCACUCUUGGGCAAGGUGUAGCAACUGCUUAGCAUUCCCCUCACCCCUGAUCAGGGUCAUGCGAAGCCACGAGAGUAGGUGGUGGGCCGUCGUACGAGCAGCUGGUGCACAUUACAAGACCUGGUUAUGCGAUUACUGAUGCCAGGCAGACAAUCUCUGAAGAAUAUUGAAAAUGGCUGGGGUCACUUGCCUUAUAAAGACACUGCCCAGAAGGAGGCAAUGGCAAACUACUUGUGUAAAACAAAUUUGCCAAAAACAAUCACAGCCAAAGAUCAUGAUUGCACACGUCAUACAACAAGUCACAUGGUGAUGACAAUUAUACUCGUUUCUUCUAAGCCUGUAUUUCCCUACAAAGUAAUUUGAUUAUCAAAGUCCAUUCAUAUAUGUCACCACAUACUACCGAGAUUCACAGCAAAUACGGAGCAACACAAUAGCAUCAAUGAAAAACCACAUAUAACAAAGAUAGACAAACAACCAAUCUGCAAAAGACAACAACUGCAAACACAAAAAGGCAGAGGGGAGAUCUGAUAGAGGUUUACUAGAUUAUGAGAGGCAUAGAUAGACAGGGAGCACCUGUUUCCCAGGGUAGAAAUAUCUAAAACUAGAGGGCAUUCAUUGAAGGUGACAGGGGUUAGGUUCAAAAGGAUGUGAAGGGUAAGUUUUUUUGCUCAUAGACUGGUGGACGACUGGAAUGCGUUGCUGGUAAUGGUGGCAGAGGCAAACACAUUAGAGGCUUUUAGAUGUUUAGAUAGGCACAUGAAUGGAGAUGGACAGAUAAGGAAGGAUUAACGUUUGAAUGUUUUUGAUUUGCUUUUUAGCUCGUUCGAUACAACAUUGUGGGUGGAAUGGCUUAAACCUGUACUGUACUCUGUUUUAUAUUAGAAUCCGAAUCAGGUUUAUUAUCACUAGCAUAUGUCGUGAAAUUUGUUAAAUUAGCAGCAGCAGUACAAUGCAAUACAUUAAACAGAAAGCAAAAAGUAAAUUGCAGUAAGCACACAUUUAUCAAAUAGAUUAAAAAUAGUGCAAAAACAGAAAUAAUAUUAUAAAAAGUGAAGUAGAGUUCACGGAUUCAACAUCCAUUCAGAAAUCAGAUGGCAGAGGGGAAGAAGCUGUUCUUGAAUCGUUGAGUGUGUGCCUUCAGGCUCCUGUACUUCCUGAUGAGAAGAGGACAUGUCCUGGGUGAUGGAGGUCCUUAAUAAUGGACGUUGCCUAUAUUAGCUCUAUUCAAAGUGCUUUCAACUUCUAUUCAUUUGAAACUCAAUGAGAUAAAUAGUGCAGGAGUGAAUUUUAUGAAAUAUCACUCUAGAUCUUGCAGCAACUUUGAGAUUUCACUUAUAGCUUUUCUAUGCAGAAAUUCCAGCAUUGUCUGCUAUCUUUUCCAAUGGAAUUAAGGUAGGUUACCCGAAUUGACCUAAAUUUCUGGUUUUUAAUCUUUCACUGGGGCAACAUUUUACAUUCAGCGGCCACUAAUUAGGUACAGGAGUGUCACUAAUAAAGUGGCCACAGGAAUGGAACCAAUUCUGAUCUCCUCCUGCUGCUAUCUAUCCACUUUUAGGUUUGACAUGUUGUGUGUUCAGAGAUGCUCUUCUGCAUACCACUGUUGUAAAGUGGUUACUGUCACCUUGCUCACUACUUUUAUUUCUAUUUUGCACUAGUUAUUCAACUAUAUAUAAAACUGACAGUAAUUCUGUAAAAAUGUUUCUAUUAUCAUGUAUCGCAUCAUGCUGCUGCUGUAAAGGCAUUUGCUGGUGAUAUUAAGCCUGAUUCUGAUUCCGUCAGAUUGAAGCAGUCUGGCCAUUUUUCUUUGACAUCUCUCAAUAACGAGGCACUUUCACCCACAGAACUGCCACUCUGCCAAACUGGAUGUUUGUUUUGGUCUUUUCACACCAUUCUCUUUAAACUUUAGAGACUGCUGUGCAUCAAAAUCCCAGGAAUUCAGCAAUUUCUGAGAUACUCAUACCACCCUGUCUGGCACCAACAGUCAAUGUCACUUAGAUCACAUUUCUUCCCCAUUCUGACAUUUGGUCAGUACAACAACUGAACCUUUUGACCAUGUCUGCAUGGUUUUAUGCACUGAGUUGCUGCCACAUGAUUGGCUGAUUAGAUAUUUGCAUUAUUGAGCAAGUGUACAGGUGUACCUAAUAAAAUGCCCACUGAGUGUAAUGAAAUAGCAAGCAUUGUGGACAAGAAAAAUAACAAAAAUAUCUGAAACUGCAAAUGAUUAAUAAAAAACAUUUUAUAUUUAGUAUACUUCUUUUAAAGGAAUGUUUCAAUUUUUAUUUGACAUCAGUAAUUAUUUAACUACAGGGAUUUACUACGAUGCUGACUGGACUAGAGGGCAUGUCUAUUGAAGACAGGCUGAACAAGCUAUGAAUUUUCCCUAUGGAACAAAGGAGGAUGAGAGGUGUACAGGAUGAGGCAUAGAUAGAAUAGACAGACAGAGACUUUUCCCACAGGGCAGAAAUAGCUAAAAGAAGGGGGCAUAAUUUUAAGGGGAUCGGAGGAAGUAUAGGGGACAUGCCAGAGGUACGUUCCGGUGAGUGGUGGGUGCGUGGAGAACCUACAAGGGGUGAUGGUGGAGGCAGAUACAUUAGUGGCAUUUAAGAAACUCUUAGGCACAAGGAUGACAGAAAAAUGGAAAGUUAUGUAGAAAAGGAAGAUUAGAUAGGUCUUAGAAUAGGUGUGCGGCUUAGGUCACCUAUCUACAGGACAGAUGUAAAUAAGGUUGAAAAAAAUGUUGCCAGAUCUGAAGGAAGUGAGUUACAAGGAAUGAUUGAUGAGGCUAGGACUUUAUUCCUUGAAACAGAAGAUUAAGAGGAGAUAGAGGCAUACAAAAUUAUGAGGAUAUAGAUAUGGUAAAUGCAAGCAGGCCUUUUCCACGGAGGUUGGGUGGGAUUGCAAGAGGUCAUAGAUUAAGGGUGAAAAGUGAAAUUUAAGGGGAAAAUGAGGGGAAACAUCUUCACUCAGAGGGUUGUGAUAGUGCGGAAUGAGCUGCCAGCAUGAUGCUUACGAGUUCUAUUUCACUGUUUAAGAGAAGUUUAGAUAGGUACAUAGUUGACCUAUUUGCCUAUCACCACAAUCUCAAUGGCUCUUCACACAGCCUUAGACCACCUGGACAACACAAACACCAACACCAGGAUGCUGUUCAUUCACUAUAGAUCAGCAUUUAACACAUCAUUCCCACAAUCCUGAUUGAGAAGUUACAGAACCUGGGCUUCUGUACCUCCCUCUGCAAUUGGAUCCUUGACUUCCUAACCAGAAGACCACAAUCUGUGCAGAUUGGUGAUAAUAUCUUGUCUUCGCUGAUGAUCAAACCUGCUUAGCCCGCUGCUCUACUCUCUGUACACACGAUUGUGUGGCUACGCAUAGUUCAAAUACCAUCUAUAAAUUUGCUGAUGAUACAACCACUGUUGGUAGAAUCUCAGGGGGUGACGAGAGCGAGAUAAGCCAACUAGUGGAGUGGUGUCGCAGCAAUAACGUUGCACUCAACGUCAGUAAGAUAAAAGAGCUGAUUGUAAACUUCAGGAAGGGCAAGAUGAAGGAACACAUACCAAUCUUCAUAGAGGGAUCAGAAAUAGAGAGAGUGAGCAGUUUCAAAUUCCUGGGUGUCAAGAUCUCAGAGGACCUAACUUGGUCCCAACAUGUUGAUGCAGUUAUAAAGGCAGCAAAUCAGCGACUACAUCAGGAGUUUGAAGAGAUUUGGUAUGUCAACAAAUACGCUCAAAAACUUCUAUUUUGAGAGCAUUCUGACAGGCUGCAUCACUGUCUGGUAAUGGGGGGGGGGGGCUACUGCACAGAACCGAAAGCUGCUGCAGAGGGUUGUAAAUUUAGUCUGCUCCAUCUUGGGUACUAGCCUACAAAGUAUCCAGGACACCUUCAGGGAGCGGUGUCUCAGAAAGGCAACAUCCAUUGUUAAGGACCUCCAGCACCCAGGGCGUGCCCUUUUCUCACUGUUACCAUCUGGUAGGAGAUACAGAAACCUGAAGGCACACACUCAGCGAUUCAAGAACAGCUUCCCCUCUGCCAUCUGAUUCCUAAAUGGACACUAAACCCUUGGACACUACCUCACUUUUUUUUUUAAAUAUAUGUAUUAUUGCACAAAUUUUAAUCUAUUCAAUAUACGUAUACUGUAAUUGAUUUACUUAUUAUUUUUCUUCUUCUAUAUUACCUAUUGCAUUGAACAAAUUCCACGGCACAUGCCAGUGAUAAUAAACCUGAUUCGGGAUGGUAGGUAUAUGGUGGGCUACAGUACUGGUGCAGGUCAAUGGGAGUGGGCCGUUUAAAUGGACUAGAUGGGGCGAAGAGCCUGUUUCAGAGCUGUACUUUUUUAUGUUGUAAUUAAAAAACAGUGCUGCUAGGUUGCUGUCAGAAUUCUUUACAUGACAGGCCAGCUGACUGCCAAGAACUACCUUAUAGAAGCACAGUACACAGAAGGGCCCUUUGACACACCGUGCCCAGGUUGACCACUAACAGUAACCCCACUUCAUGCCUUGACAAUUUGAGUGUUCAUUUAGCUUUUUCUUAAAGAGAGUACCUACCUCCAUCAUCCACUCAGCUUACUAAUCUAAGAGACGGUAAAGGGGAAGACGUGGGCUUCAUACUCCCCUUUCUCCCCAGAUCACCCUCCACCCUUGCUCCCCAG